AGUGAACGCUGGCGGCGUGCCUAACACAUGCAAGUCGAAGGAAGUGGCGCACGGGUGAGUAAUAUAUAGCUAAUCUGCCCCUUGUUGGAGGACAACAGUUAGAAAUGACUGCUAAUACUCCAUAGGAAGGGAUGAGACUCUAUCGUAUCAGCUAGUCGGGGGGGUAACGGCCGACCGAGGCGAUGAAGCGUCACUGGUCUGUGGGGAUGUUAAGUAGCAUUGGAACUGAGACACGGUCCAAAAACCUACGGGAGGGAGCAGUAGGGAAAUUUGCGCAAUGGGAGAGACCCUGGCGGAGCAACGCCGUGUGGAGGAUGACACUUUGCGGAGCGUAAACUCCGUUUUAUAGGGAAGCGGUACCUAACGAAUAAGCACCGGCUAACUCCGUGCCAGCAGCCGCGGUAAUUC
rnacentral:rRNA from 1 species